GGGGGGGGGGGGGGGGGGGGGUGGGACGUGCGGGGCGAGCGGCGGGGGGGGGGCAAGCCUGGUGGCAAGGGGCGAACGGGUGAGUAAUACAUCGGAACGUGCCCGGUCGUGGGGGAUGACGUAGCGGAAGUUACGCUAAUACCGCAUACGAUCUGAGGAGGCAAGCGGGGGACCUUGGGGCCUCGCGCGAUCGGAGCGGCCGAUGUCAGAUUAGGUAGUUGGUGGGGUAAAGGCCUACCAAGCCGACGAUCUGUAGGUGGUCUGAGAGGACGACCAGCCACACUGGGACUGAGACACGGCCCAGACUCCUACGGGAGGCAGCAGUGGGGAAUUUUGGACAAUGGGCGCAAGCCUGAUCCAGCCAUUCCGCGUGCAGGACGAAGGCCUUCGGGUUGUAAACUGCUUUUGUAUGGAACGAAAAGGCUCUGGCUAAUACCUGGGGCUCAUGACGGUACCGUAAGAAUAAGCACCGGCUAACUACGUG
rnacentral:rRNA from 1 species